CAGCCGCCGCGGUAAUGCGAAGGGUGCAAGCGUUAAUCGGAAUUACUGGGCGUAAAGCGUGCGUAGGCGGUGAGUUAAGUCUGCUGUGAAAUCCCCGGGCUCAACCUGGGAAUGGCAAUGGAUACUGGCAAGCUAGAGUGUGUCAGAGGAUGGUGGAAUUCCCGGUGUAGCGGUGAAAUGCGUAGAGAUCGGGAGGAACAUCAGUGGCGAAGGCGGCCAUCUGGGACAACACUGACGCUGAGGCACGAAAGCGUGGGGAGCAAACAGGAUUAGAUACCCGUGUAGUCCCUGUCUCUUAUAC
rnacentral:rRNA from 1 species